UAAGACAGAGGUCCCGAGCGUUAGGCGGAAUCACUGGGCUUAAAGCGUGUGUAGGCGGACUUCUAAGUACCUUGUGAAAUCCCACGGCUUAACCGUGGAACUGCUUGGUAUACUGGUUGUCUUGGGCCACCUAGGGGCUACUGGAACAAACGGUGGAGCGGUGAAAUGCGUAGAUAUCGUUUGGAACGCCAAUGGUGAAAACAAGUAGCUGGGGGUGUGCCGACGCUGAGACACGAAAGCCAGGGGAGCGAACGGGAUUAGAUACCCCGGUAGUCCUGGCUGUAAACGAUGUCGACUAGAUCGUGGUGGCUCUGACGCCGUCACGGUCGAAGCAAAAGUGCUAAGUCGACCGCCUGGGAAGUACGGUCGCAAGGCUA
rnacentral:rRNA from 1 species